AUGCUGCUUGCAUCUCUGUAUCCUUCAUGGCUAAGGAGAGUAUCCGGAACAUAGUAGGAUCUCAGUAUCUCUUCAUGGAAUUUACACGUCCAUUUGGCCUCUGAAAACCACAUCCUCUCCUCUACAGCUUGUCUACUUUCUUUUCCUGAGGCCAACUGUUAGGAAAUGAUGUUCUAAGGUACUUUGAAAAAUGUUUAAUUCAAUGAUAAAGAGCCUGCCCAAGAGUUUAAAAUACAAUAAAAACAAGAACGUACAUCAAUUGUUGAUCCCAUCUGAUGGCAGUCUGUCCUUGAGCAUAUAGCUAAAAGGAUUUUCUCUGUAUCAAGUGGCACAACUACGGUGGACAUUCUGGAAACCAGGACUCUCAUGUCUUCUGCUAGCAUGUCAAAAACUGUGAAGAGUCUGAAAUUUUACUCUACUUGCAAGUCUCACUCUAUCUCCCAGGCUGGAGUGGAAUGGCGCGAUCUCGGCUCACUGCAACCUCCACCUCCCGGGUUUAAGUGAUUCUUCUGCCUCAGCCUCCCGAGUAGCUGGAACUAGAGGCGCCUGCCACCAUGCCCGGCUAAUUUUUGUAUUUUUAGUAGAUAUGGGGUUUCACCAUAUUGGCCAGGAUGGUCUCGAACUCCUGACUUCGUGAUUUGCCUGCCUCGGCUUCCCAACGUGCUGAGAUUACAGGCAUGAGCCACUGUGCCUGGCCAACUGAAUGUUUUAAAUUAUGCUGUAUCUCUUAAAACACUUAAAAAUAAAAUCUUAUGAAUCACCGAUUUAUUAAUACAAGGCAACUAACAACAAAGAGCCUAGAGAGACUUUAGGUCUCUUUCUUAAAGAAGUUCAUAAUUUAAUAACCUCUCUGGGCUUCAUUUUCUUUAUCUUUAAAGUAAGGACACUGAACUUGACUUUCUCCAAGAUUCCCCAAGGGAGGUUCCAAGGCUUUCUAAUACAGUCAUGUUAUAUGUUAUAUAACCAAGCACUCAGAGCAGUUCCUGGCCAUUUGUGAGGAAGGAGAAUAGGAUCUGGAGGCAGGGAACCUAUGACUGAUUUGCACUAACUUCCUAGAACGAAUCGAAAGGAAAACCCCACCUCUCCACACCAAAGUAACAAAAGGAUCAGAGGCUACUCUUUUUGCACUUCAUCGUAGAGGAAAAAUGAAAAGUACCUCUGAUUGUUUCCUUCCCACAACCAAUCAGACUGGUGGCAGGCCUAGUCUUCAUUUGCAUGUAACUUUGUAACUUUACUUCAUCCUCUGAUUGGUCCCCUCCCACAACCAAUCAGACUGGUCACAGGCUACAUCUUCAUUUACAGAGAGUGUAACCAAGUAACCAAUGGGAAACCUCUAGAGGGUGUUUAAACCCCAGAAAAUUCUGUAACCAGCACUCUUGAGCUGCUUGCUCGAGCCUACUCCCACUCUGUGGAGUGUACUUUUGUUUCAAUAAAUCUAUGCUUUUAUUGCUUCA
rnacentral:lncRNA from 10 species